CCAGGUUCCGCAACCCACCAGUUAAGAAACACUGGCUAAGGCCAUGGAUUGGUUGUGAGGAGUACAAACUUCAGACAUCUCUGCCUUGGGAUCUUCCACAUGACCUGUCUUGCAAGUGGAACAGAGAACUCGACUGACUGGUGUUGAUGAACUAAUGACUGUCAUCAGUCCCUGCUGAGGAAAUGGAUUCUGGUGUGAGUGCGAGUGAGUGUGGCUGUGGGAGGCAAUACAACAUGAAGAUUUCUUGCAGCUUCUCAAAUCUGGCCUGGUCUUUAGACUGAAGGCAAGCCAGUGGUACAGGUAAGCACAGUAAGUGGUUGAGCAUGCAUACCAAUUAACAUGGUGGUGCAGCACGUCAUGCUUCAGUUCAGUGUGCGGUGGCAACUCCGCAAGUGGAACCGCCUUUGGAACAUCAACACGGUGAACGUGACACGUUGCUUCGAGCCAGAUGGCAUCCCUCUGGUUGGUGUUGGGAGGUAUAGUGCAUGUAUUCACAGCGCUUCACUUUUUCCACAU